UGGAUGUUAAUUUUUGUUUUUGUUGGCUUAGAGAUUUUGAGUGGUCUUGAACUUUUAAGUUGGUUGGGUUGUUAGUGGAUCUAGUAGGAUGGUAAUCAAUUAGGGGAUUUUUUUUUCCAAAAUUCUUUUCUCUUUUUCUAGAAAAAAGCUGACGUUGGCUUUCCCCUUUCUCUGUGUUUUCUAUCAAUUGACUAUUCUUUUC
rnacentral:lncRNA from 1 species